rnacentral:lncRNA from 1 species
GUUGAGGCCAUGACCUGUGGCCUGCCCACGUUCGCCACCGCCUAUGGUGGUCCGGCUGAGAUCAUCGUGCACGGCGUGUCUGGCUUCCACAUUGACCCGUACCAGGGCGACAAGGCGUCGGCGCUGCUCGUGGACUUCUUUGAGAAGUGCCAGACGGAUUCGAGCCACUGGAACAAAAUCUCCCAGGGCGGGCUCCAGCGUAUCGAGGAGAAGUAUGCCUGCAUGCAGCUUACAUAGAACACUGUGGAUGGCAACCAUUUUGAUCAUGUUCUUACCCUCACCGGUGGCGUUUUGAUGCAGAUACACCUGGAAGCUGUACUCGGAGAGGCUGAUGACCCUGACGGGCGUGUAUGGUUUCUGGAAGUACGUGUCCAACCUGGAGAGGCGCGAGACCCGGCGGUACCUGGAGAUGCUGUACGCGCUCAAGUACCGCACCAUGGCCAGCACCGUGCCGUUGGCCGUGGAGGGAGAGCCCUCCAGCAAGUGAGCGCGCGGCGGCGGCGGCGGCGACUAGAGAUCUCACCUGAUGAGCGAAAGGGAGCACUUGGAGUUGUGUCUUUUCCCUGGGUUUCCUUCCCCUGACCAGGAGGCGAAAAAAGAGUCUGCUUUUUCCUAGGCGACGGGCGUUCGUUGCUGCUAUUCCCUUCAAUCAAGAAUUGUUAUUGCCUUGUCAUCAAGGUCUUGUUCCAUCAUUGAUCCGGGUGUUGGUUUUAGUAGUCUGAUCUGAAUUGUUAGUAGUUUGUGUUGAGUCGGUUGAGAGGGAUGCUGGGAUGGUGGGUGGUGUGUGUGAAGUCGGGUGUGGUGCUCCCUUAGUUUCCUGGAUGGGAUGUUGCUCCUUGAAUAAUGAUCAUUGUGGCC